AGUGAACGCUGGCGGUAGGCCUAACACAUGCAAGUCGAACGGCAGCACAGUAAGAGCUUGCUCUUACGGGUGGCGAGUGGCGGACGGGUGCGGAAUACAUCGGAAUCUACUUUUUCGUGGGGGAUAACGUAGGGAUACUUACGCUAAUACCGCAUACGACCUACGUGUGAAAGCAAGGGAUCUUCGGACCUUGCGCGAUACAAUGAGCCGAUGUCGGGUUCGCUAGUUCGAGUGGCAAAGGCCCACCAAGGCGACGAUCCGUAGCUAGUCUGAGAGGAUGAUCAGCCACACUGGAACUGAGACACGGCCCAGACUCCUACGGGAGGCAGCAGUGGGGAAUAUUGGACAAUGGGGGCGAGCCUGAUCCAGCCAUACCGCGUGAGUGAAGAAGGCCUUCGGGUUGUAAAGCCCUUUUGUUGGGAAAGAAAAGCAGCAGGUUAAUACCCCGCUGUUCUGACGGUACCAAAAGAAUAAGCCCCGGCUAACUUCGUG
rnacentral:rRNA from 1 species